rnacentral:rRNA from 1 species
AAAACGACUCUCGGCAACGGAUAUCUCGGCUCUCGCAUCGAUGAAGAACGCAGCRCAAUGCGAUAAUUGGUGUGAAUUGCAGAAUCCCGUGAACCAUCGAGUCUUUGAACGCAAGUUGCGCCCGAAGCCAUUAGGCCGAGGGCACGUCUGCCUGGGCGUCACGC